UACGUAGGCAGCGAGCGUUGUUCGGAGUUACUGGGCGUAAAGGGUGUGUAGGCGGUUGUUUAAGUUUGGUGUGAAAUCUCCCGGCUCAACUGGGAGGGUGCGCCGAAUACUGAAUGACUUGGAGUGCGGGAGAGGAAAGUGGAAUUCCUGGUGUAGCGGUGAAAUGCGUAGAUAUCAGGAGGAACACCGGUGGUGUAGACGGCUUUCUGGACCGUAACUGACGCUGAGACACGAAAGCGUGGGGAGCAAACAGG
rnacentral:rRNA from 1 species